CAGUGAUCGGACUAAAAACCUUACUGUGGAAUCUUGCUAUGGAGAGGUCUGGGUGCCCCAGCCAUGUGACAUCCCACAAAUCUCUUACCUGUCCUUGGCUUCUGAGAAAAUGGGUUCCAUCAACACUCAAGAUGGGGAUGAACUGCCUGAGGCAUGGAUCAUGGGGACCAUCUUGAGAGCCUAUCAGCUACAUAAGUGAAGAGGAAUUUUAGCAAUUCAUUUUAUUGUAAUGACAGUCAUUGUGGCAUUAUUGGACUCCUGAAAUUGUUCUCCAGGACUGGCAUUUAGUGUUGAAAUAGGAGAGACUCUCAAGGACCCAGACCAGCCAGGAACCCUAUCAAGAGGUCUCACGCAGUUAAUAUGGAACUACACCCUAGUAGGAGGACAUAGAAAACAAACAGCAACAAAACACAUCUAGCAUCUCAGAUGGCGGUGAAUCUUACAGAGCAAAAUAAAGUGGGAAACAUGGAGACAGUGUGGAAGGUGUCAUUCUGAAGAAAGGGUGAUAGGGACAGCUCGUCUCAGGGGAUACAUCAAGAGAAAAUGAACAUGAGUACCGCGAGAAAAAGCAAUUUGAUUCAGAUUCCAGAGUUUGUAUUUGGCGUGUCUGUGUCUGUCAUCAUUGGAAAACUGCCUAAGGAAGUGUUACGAACAAGUUGAUCAUAAGGUGCUCGAGGCAUGUGGGCCACCGGAGGCCUGAAUCAAUACAGGAAAAGUGAGGGCCUAGAGAGAUGAGAUGAUGAUGACUAAUGUAAUUCUCCGAGCCGGACAUGUAUCCAGACGUGCUACCCACAACUCCUGGGGCAGUAGAGGGUGAUUCUUACAAAGACGGGCCGCGGAGCCAGGGGCUACCUCCAAGUGAUUGGAUAUAAUACACUGUUUCAUCCAAGUCCAGAAGUGGAGCGAUGUUCCAACACAGGCAGGCAACAGCUAAGAAUAAGGAAGAAGGAAGAAGGAAGAAGGCUUUUGAUGGCAUCUAAAAAUGUACAUGUUUGGCCUCCAAUAAAUCCUCUUUUUUUUUUUUUGAUUGUAUUUAUUUUAGAGAGAGAGAGAGAAAGAGAGGAGGGGCAGAG